AAACGUGGCCGCACAUGACACUUCUUGUUUAUCGUGUUCUGUAUCUGUGAGACGUUCAAUGCUGAGAACAAAUUGAUAAAAGGUGUAGGAAACAUGGCCGGCGCCGCAUUCAAGUCACGUCGGAUUUUUUUGUUUACACAGUCAUAUUUGUUGUGACACACACAAAUAUGGAGACGUACGACUUGACACAACUUUAUUCAUCUCGACAUGUAAACAAAAACACGUGUUAAUUUUUUUUCACUAGUAUUUUCGACGUUGUUGUUGAGCAGUGAACGCGCCCCAGCAAGCAUACCCCUCACCUUUACGCUCCUCCGCUUGACCUGAACCCGCAGAGCAAAGUCAGCUCCCGGCCGCCGACGCUCCCCUGAUGUACGGGGAGGGCUGGAGAUAAAAGGACACUCCUCCCCCCCGCCGCCGAGGAGCCCAUCCAAACACUCAGUGUACAUAUCUGCUCACUCACGCGGAGGCGACGGCACGCGCUUCACCUCCACAAAAGGCACAGGACGGAGUGAAAACAGGAGGCAGGAGACAUUUGCGACAUUCUCGGAUAGACAACUGGCUCCCUUUUCUCCCCCCCCCCCCGGUUUUGAACUUCGGUUCUGAAAGCAUUUUUGCCGGUUCUGAACUUUCCUCGCCGGUCCCGGUUUGGGCAUUGGGAGCUCCAACUCUGUUAACCUCACGGCGAACCGAAAAACAGUUAAAGUGGUAGCAGCCUUCUGACCGGACACUUCCAGCCAGUGGGAUGUUAGCUCUGGCCCUGGGAGGAGGACUGCGUGAAGGAGCAUGGUGAAACACCAACCUCUCCAGGUCUACGAACGCCAGCUGUGUUUGUCAUGCAUCACCGGGAUCUACGGUUGCCGAUGGAAACGCUAUCAGCGUUCCCAUGAUGACACCACCAAGUGGGAGCUGCUGUGGUCUUUCAUCCUCCUCUUCACCUUCUGUCUGCUGCUGGUCUGGUUCUACUUUUGGUGGGAGGCGCAUAAUGACUACAAUGAGUUUAACUGGCUGUUAUACAACCGCUCUGGGGAGUGGAGCGAUGGCACUGUUCCCAUUCUGGCCACCACUGCUGCAGGCUUCACCUACGUUGCGUUUUUAAUGAUUUUAGCACUUUGCCACAUAGCACUUGGUCAGCAGCUGAAUUUGCACUGGCUCCACAAGAUAGGAGUAGCUGCUGCUCUGCUCACCACCGUUGUCGGGGUGAUUUCUGUAAACCAAACCUGGGAGCAAGAGUGGGAUAUCGUCCCCAUCUCCCUGCAGGCCACAGGUCCAUUUUUGCACAUGGGGGCUCUUGCGGCAGUCACAGCUCUCUCGUGGAUCGUGGCGGGACAAGUGGCCCGAGCCGAAAAACCAGUGUUCCAGGUGGUGGUCAUGCUACUAUACCUCAGUGUGUUACUAGGGCUCUAUGUGGUGCCUUUGUACAUUACCUCCCCAUGUAUCAUGGAUCCUAGCACCCUGAGGCCCCGCCCUGAUGUUAUCGGCCAGCGGGGAGCACCCAUGAUUGCUCCAGAAAACACAUUCUGGUCUUUCCAUCGAUCUCUACAGAUGAACGUCACAGGAUUUGAAACAGAUGUUACAAUUAGUGUUGAUGGCGUGCCCUUCCUAAUGCACGAUCUCGAUCUCCGGAGGACCACAGAUGUGGAAAAGGUUUUUCCAGAGAGGCAAACACUCAACGCAUCAUCUUUCAACUGGACCGAUCUGCAGCAGCUCAAUGCUGGGGAGUGGUUCCUAAAGGACGACCCCUUCUGGACGGUUCCCAGCCUGUCCUCAUCCGAGAAGACAAAGAUCGCCAACCAGAGUGUGUGCAGCCUGGAGGAACUUCUAAAGCUGGCCUCCAUUACCAACAGCUCUGUGGUUUUCCGACUGCAGAGACCCCCCCCGGAUCACCCCCACCACCACAGCUGGAUCAAUGAUACGCUGAAAGUAGUGCAGCAGUCUGGGAUACCUCAACGCCUGGUGAUGUGGACUACUGAUGAGCAAAGGGCUGAAGUGAGGCAGCAAGCGCCUGGCCUGAUCCAGACAUCACUGGUGAAAUGCAGUCUUCAAAGUCUGCAGCAGUCUGACGUCAGCAGGAUGCUGCUGAGAUACAACAGAGUCAGCACAAACGAAGUCAGGAACUUCUCACAAUCUCACAUUGACCUCACCCUCUACACUGUCAAUGAUCCAUGGCUGUACUCGGUGCUGUGGUGCAGCGGAGUGUCCGCAGUCUCCUCUGAGGCCCCGCAUGUCCUCAAAAAGGUGCCUUACCCAAGUUGGCUCAUGAGACCAAAUGAAUACUGCCUGAUGUGGGUGUCUGCAGACCUCAUCUCCUUUGCUGUUAUUGUAGGAAUAUUUAUUUUACAGAACUAUCACAUAAUCAGGUAUCGGAUGAGCGGCAUGCGCAGCUACAACCCUGAGCAGAUCAUGCUGAGCGCCUCGGUCAGGACGUCCAGUCGAGAUGUCAACGUCAUGAAGGAGAAACUCAUCUUUUCUGAUCAACCCCAGUAACCUCCCUGCCCCAUCGUUUGUGUGACAUGCUCCUCAUCGCUCUACCAUCCCCGUCCUCCUCGCAGGCAGCGACUCCUGCUUUUCCUCCAUGCAUCAAGCGCCUCCCUCAUUGCCUUCAACCCCUUCUACCUACCUUGCAUUUUCCUUUCCAUCCAUCCGUUCAUCCCAUCAUCCCUGUCCUCCCACACAAUCCUCCCCCAUGGAGACGAGUUGUUUGGGCGAACAUUUAAUCCUCCAGUCAGGGUUUAGACAGCCCGUUGUGUGGGAGAUGAAAGAGGUGAGGAACGACAUUGGAGCUGACGAGGAGCCGUACAUGGAUGGCUACAACUACUACACCAACCAGUCAGUGAUUCGAGGUGUUUGAUGCAGCUGCUUGAAGAGGAAACGUUCCCACCAUUCCUGCUUCAGUCCAAACUCUGAACAGCUUUCUGCACACUGUAAAUAGUGUAAAUAUAGCAUUUCUCUUGUUUGACAUGUUGUUUGUCACACAGGACUGUAAGCACUUGUUGAUGGAAUUCUGUGAUUUCUUUCUUUGCCAUCUAAAAGUGGGCCCUUGGAGUGAGAAAACUCCUGCUCCUUUUAGAGAUUUCUGCCUUUCAGGUACAAUAUUUUAAACGCUGUCGACGUUCCACUCGCAGAUGAAGAGGCUUUUUGUCCGACUUUAUCGUAGCAUGAAGCAAAGAGCUUUUCAUUUUGCUCCUGCUCGCCGUUAGGACUUUAGUUUGCCGUUGUUCAACCAUUCCAAAACUAGAUUUAGAGAGAAAAGCCAUGUUUACAGAUGGGCGAAGUAUUGACUCGUUGUAAGAUAUCUUCUGGUUUUAGCAUUGCUGCUGUGUGCGAGUCUGUUUUAACUCUUUCCAUUGUUGUAAAGAUGUGUUUAAAUCACAAAGUCUUGCAUUUGUUUUGUUUCUUUUUUGUAUAUUGCAUGUGGUGCUGUGUCUAAUUAUUUGAGAUGCUCUAGCCAGCCAAAUGAACAAGACGGCCGUUGGACAAAUAAAAACCCCAAGCAACAGUUCAGCUUUUCACUAAUCGCUUUUAUUUUGAUUUUAGGAAACAUGGUUUUUCUGAAAGUGAGGAAUAAAAGUGCAAAAUCGAGCUUUGAAGGGGGAAUGCUGAAGUUUUCUCACAUUUGGAUUGUGUUUGAGUUUUACUGUGCCUCCAAAGUCUAGAUUAAAGCUUGUGAUAUUUUAACUUG